rnacentral:rRNA from 1 species
UACGUAGGGGGCAAGCGUUGUCCGGAAUCAUUGGGCGUAAAGAGCGUGUAGGCGGUUAGGUAGGUCCGUUGUGAAAACUCGAGGCUCAACCUCGAGACGCCGAUGGAAACCCCCUAACUAGAGUCCGGAAGAGGAGAGUGGAAUUCCUGGUGUAGCGGUGAAAUGCGCAGAUAUCAGGAAGAACACCCGUGGCUAAGGCGGCUCUCUAGUACGGUACUGACGCUGAGACGCGAAAGCGUGGGGAGCGAACAGG